UGCAACCUGUGAUGCAAAUUAACCCAUUUACUGAUUUACAGUGAUUAUUUCUGUAAAAAAUCACCAUCUUUCGGCUGAGGUUGCA
rfam:Oryza brachyantha chromosome 11, whole genome shotgun sequence.